CGGAGCCAAGGCAGAAGCAGGCUGAGCACCCAGCUGCCUCCCAUGAAGCCAGAUGUUAAGAUAUUUGCAAAACUUUACUCCGUGCCACCCUUGUCACUAAAUUUUUUGUUGGGGAAAAUUAUCUUUCAAUGGACACAUUACAGAGGUUCGAGGGCCAAUUAGGCUGCUGUGAUCAGAAGCAGCCAUAAAUGUGGAACAGACCAGCAGCGUGGACUUGACCUGCAGGCAUGUCUGCUCAGCCACAAAAUGGUGGGCCAGAGGCAUGAUGAUCAUCUCUAGGAUCUCCUCACACUGGCAAGACUCCAGAGGGAUGAUGUCUUCCUCGG